rnacentral:misc_RNA from 1 species
GAUGAAGAACGUAGCGAAAUGCGAUAAGUAAUGUGAAUUGCAGAAUUAAGUGAAUCAUCGAAUCUUUGAACGCACCUUGCGCCCUUUGGCCAUUCCGAAGGGCAUGCCUGUUUGAGUAUCAUGAACACCUCAACUCUUUAUGGUUUUCCAUGAUGAGCUUGGACUCUGGGGGUUUUGCUGGCUCACAGUCGGCUCCUCUAAAAUGAAUCAGCUUACCAGUGUUUGGUGGGUAUCAUGGGUGUGAUAACUAUCUACGCUUGUGGUUUUUCCACCAGGUAACCUUCAGCAGUGGAGGUUCGCUGGAGCUCAUAGAUGUCUCUCCUCAGUGAGGACAGCCCUUUGAAUGUUUGAUCUCAAAUCAGGUAGGACUACCCGCUGAACUUAAGCAUAUCAAUAAGCGGAGGA